GACGAACGCUGGCGGCGUGCUUAACACAUGCAAGUCGAACGGUAAGGCCCUUCGGGGUACACGAGUGGCGAACGGGUGAGUAACACGUGGGUGAUCUGCCCUGCACUUCGGGAUAAGCCUGGGAAACUGGGUCUAAUACCGGAUAGGACCACUGAUCGCAUGGUUGGUGGUGGAAAGUUUUUUCGGUGGGGGAUGGGCCCGCGGCCUAUCAGCUUGUUGGUGGGGUGAUGGCCUACCAAGGCGGUGACGGGUAGCCGGCCUGAGAGGGCGACCGGCCACACUGGGACUGAGACACGGCCCAGACUCCUACGGGAGGCAGCAGUGGGGAAUAUUGCGCAAUGGGCGGAAGCCUGACGCAGCGACGCCGCGUGGGGGAUGACGGCCUUCGGGUUUUAAACCUCUUUCGCCAGGGACGAAGAGCAAUUGACGGUACCUGGAGAAGAAGCACCGGCCAACUACGUGCCAGCCGCCGCUGUAA
rnacentral:rRNA from 1 species